rnacentral:rRNA from 1 species
UGGGGAAUAUUGGACAAUGGGGGAAACCCUGAUCCAGCAACGCCGCGUGGGUGAUGAAGGUCUUCGGAUUGUAAAGCCCUUUUGGCAGGGACGAUGAUGACGGUACCUGCAGAAUAAGCUCCGGCUAACUUCGUGCCAGCAGCCGCGGUAAUACGAAGGGAGCAAGCGUUGUUCGGAAUUACUGGGCGUAAAGAGCGCGUAGGCGGUUUGAUAAGUUGGGCGUGAAAUCCCCGGGCUUAACCCGGGAACUGCGUUCAAAACUAUUAGACUAGAGUGUGGAAGAGGUUGGUGGAAUUCCCAGUGUAGAGGUGAAAUUCGUAGAUAUUGGGAAGAACACCGGUGGCGAAGGCGGCCAACUGGUCCAUAACUGACGCUGAGGCGCGAAAGCGUGGGGAGCAAACAGG